rnacentral:rRNA from 1 species
CCUACGGGUGGCAGCAGUGGGGAAUAUUGGGCAAUGGAGGCAACUCUGACCCAGCAACGCCGCGUGAAUGAUGAAGGUCUUCGGAUUGUAAAGUUCUGUGAUGUGGGAUGAACACAAUGAGGGUACCCCAAUAGCAAGCCACGGCUAACUACGUGCCAGCAGCCGCGGUAAUCCGUAGGUGGCAAGCGUUAUCCGGAAUGACUGGGCGUAAAGGGUGCGUAGGUGGCUUAGUAAGUUGGCGGUGUAAUUCCGGGGCUCAACCUUAUCGUUACCGCCAAAACUAGUAGACUGGAGUGCAGGGGGGGCAAGUGGAAUGCGUAGUGUAGCGGUGGAAUGCGUAGAUAUUAGGAGGAACCUCAGGGGCGAAGGCGACUUACUGGACUGUAACUGACACUGAGGCACGAAAGCGUGGGGAGCAAACAGGAUUAGAUACCCCGGUAGUC